rnacentral:miRNA from 1 species
GCCCGCUCCGCACUGCACCC